ACAGAGCCCGGGCCACAGGCAGCUCCUUGCCAGCUCUCCUCCUCGCACAGCCGCUCGAACCGCCUGCUGAGCCCCAUGGCCCGCGCCACGCUCUCCGCCGCCCCCAGCAAUCCCCGGCUCCUGCGGGUGGCGCUGCUGCUCCUGCUCCUGGUGGCCGCCAGCCGGCGCGCAGCAGGUGGGUCCCGGCGCCCUGGGGUCCCCGGGCCGGACGCGGCUGGGGUGGGCGCCCCGCGCCGACAGCCCCGCUCAAUCAGCGAGUCUCUUCUUCCCUAGGAGCGCCCCUGGCCACUGAACUGCGCUGCCAGUGCUUGCAGACCCUGCAGGGAAUUCACCUCAAGAACAUCCAAAGUGUGAAGGUGAAGUCCCCCGGACCCCACUGCGCCCAAACCGAAGUCAUAGCCACACUCAAGAAUGGGCAGAAAGCUUGUCUCAACCCCGCAUCGCCCAUGGUUAAGAAAAUCAUCGAAAAGAUGCUGAAAAAUGGCAAAUCCAACUGACCAGAAGGAAGGAGGAAGCUUAUUGGUGGCUGUUCCUGAAGGAGGCCCUGCCCUUACAGGAACAGAAGAGGAAAGAGAGA
rnacentral:lncRNA from 1 species